rnacentral:rRNA from 1 species
ACAGCAGUCGCCGCGGUAAAACGAAGGGUGCAAGCGUUAAUCGGAAUUACUGGGCGUAAAGCGUGCGUAGGCGGUGAGUUAAGUCUGCUGUGAAAUCCCCGGGCUCAACCUGGGAAUGGCAGUGGAUACUGGCUCGCUAGAGUGUGUCAGAGGAUGGUGGAAUUCCCGGUGUAGCGGUGAAAUGCGUAGAGAUCGGGAGGAACAUCAGUGGCGAAGGCGGCCAUCUGGGACAACACUGACGCUGAGGCACGAAAGCGUGGGGAGCAAACAGGAUUAGAUACCCCCGUAGUCCCUGUCUCUUAUAC